rnacentral:rRNA from 1 species
GUACACACCGCCCGUCAAGCCAUGGGAGCCGGGGGUGCCUGAAGGCCGUGACCGCGAGGAGCGGCCUAGGGUAAAACUGGUGACUGGGGCUAAGUCGUAACAAGGUAAC